AAAUACAGAAAUAGGUGUCUCUGUUGUCUGCGUAUAUAUCAGGUACUUGUAUGAGAAGCUUGUGCGCGACACUGAUUUCCCAAGGAAAUUCUCCUUCUUAUCACCCCAUCGAAUAUCCUUGGUGUUAAUUGAAGCAGAACAAGAAUUGGUCAAAGAAUACAUGGUUAAGGAAUUCUUGAAAUAUAAAGAUGAGCGCAAGUUAUUUAUUCUAUCAUUUUAUAUACAUAAGCCUAUUGGACAUUGGGUGUUAUUUGUCAUUAAUCCCAUAUCGGAAAUCAUAUAUUAUAUGGAUCCAUUACUCAAUGACUAUAUGAAUUACCCAAA